rnacentral:rRNA from 1 species
GACGAACGCUGGCGGCGUGCUUAACACAUGCAAGUCGAACGGAAAGGCCCUGCUUUUGUGGGGUGCUCGAGUGGCGAACGGGUGAGUAACACGUGAGUAACCUGCCCUUGACUUUGGGAUAACUUCAGGAAACUGGGGCUAAUACCGGAUAGGAGCUCCUGCUGCAUGGUGGGGGUUGGAAAGUUUCGGCGGUUGGGGAUGGACUCGCGGCUUAUCAGCUUGUUGGUGGGGUAGUGGCUUACCAAGGCUUUGACGGGUAGCCGGCCUGAGAGGGUGACCGGCCACAUUGGGACUGAGAUACGGCGCAGACUCCUACGGGAGGCAGCAGUGGGGAAUAUUGCACAAUGGGCGGAAGCCUGAGGCAGCAACGCCGCGUGCGGGAUGACGGCCUUCGGGUGGUGAACCGCUUUCGCCUGUGACGAAGCGUGAGUGACGGUAAUGGGUAAAGAAGCACCGGCUAACUACGUG